UACAGAGGUCUCAAGCGUUGUUCGGAUUUAUUGGGCGUAAAGGAUGCGUAGGAGGUUGUCUAAGUCAGAUGUGAAAUCCCCGAGCUUAACUCGGGAAUGGCAUUUGAAACUAGAUAGCUGGAGGAUGGGAGAGGUUACUGGAAUUCUCGGUGUAGCGGUGAAAUGCGUAGAUAUCGAGAGGAACGCCAACGGCGAAAGCAAGUAACUGGAACAGACCUGACUCUGAAGCAUGAAAGCCAGGGGAGCAAACGGG
rnacentral:rRNA from 1 species